GACGAACGCUGGCGGCGUGCUUAACACAUGCAAGUCGAACGGAAAGGCCCUGCUUUUGUGGGGUGCUCGAGUGGCGAACGGGUGAGUAACACGUGAGUAACCUGCCCUUGACUUUGGGAUAACUUCAGGAAACUGGGUCUAAUACCGGAUAGGAUCUCCUGCUGCAUGGUGGGGGUUGGAAAGUUUCGGCGGUUGGGGAUGGACUCGCGGCUUAUCAGCUUGUUGGUGGGGUAGUGGCUUACCAAGGCUUUGACGGGUAGCCGGCCUGAGAGGGUGACCGGCCACAUUGGGACUGAGAUACGGCCCAGACUCCUACGGGAGGCAGCAGUGGGGAAUAUUGCACAAUGGGCGGAAGCCUGAUGCAGCAACGCCGCGUGCGGGAUGACGGCCUUCGGGUUGUAAACCGAUUUCGCCUGUGACGAAGCGUGAGUGACGGUAAUGGGUAAAGAAGCACCGGCUAACUACGUG
rnacentral:rRNA from 1 species